rnacentral:misc_RNA from 1 species
GCUCCCUCAACUUUAUUUCUUCUUCUCGUAGCUUGUCUACAUUGUUCUUCUCUCUGUAGAGUUUGUAGAACUCUUGCAAGCGAGCAAUGUCCUGGCUUCUAUCGAUGACCCCACCAUCUCUCUUUGCAAGCUUUUGCUUGAUGACAGACAUCAAACCAGUCUUGAAUUGAAGAACACCUCUUCCUUCACUAUUAGGAUCCAGAUUUUGUGCAAGUGAAUAAGCAUGCUCACAUAAAAUUCUAGAGACAUUCGGAUCUUCAUCUUGAAUUUCAUCAGCAGCCCUCAAAAUUGCAUCAAUAUCCCUAUUGUUUGCAAGUGAAGAGGGAACAUAUCCAGCAAUGCCACCAACGGGUCGGCCAAGUGCAUCAGUCNCCCAAUUCUUUCCCUCCUUAAUGCAGCCCGUACUAACCGCUCCCAGAGAUCCUCUGCUCGAGACAUUUUCUAGCUGAACCCUCGAUCGCGAGGCCAAAACCCUAGAGACCAAGUUGAGAAGGUGAGUUGAAACGGCCUCUUGGACCGGUAGAAAUGGAAAUAAAAAGCUAACUUUUUCUACAGAAAGGUGAUUGUGUUUGGCGUUUGAAAUCGAAGUGAAACUGAAUCCUG